ensembl:lncRNA
CAUCCUCUUAAGAUAACUCUCCGUAGACUGUAGCCUAGAAGAGACAUCCAGUUGGGUCCAGUCCUGCAUGCGCUGUAUAUAUUAUCAUUAACCCAAUAUCUGCAAGUGGGGUGCUUUAUAGAUCAAAUCAUCUGCCAAUCACUUUGGCAGUGUUUCGGGUCAUAUUUGUAAAGUGGCGUUGCGCGUUUUAGAAGAUUGCGAUUUGCAACAGUCUGGGCGUUGUGUGAAAUCCGUUUUUUUUUAUGCGACAUGGAACGCUUCACUACAACAAGUAGCAGCAAAGGACGCAAACCUCGCUCAUGCGCAUAGCAGACGAAUAAGCAGUUAAUGAUCUUAACGCUGCUGUGAUCAUCCAUUAUAUGGCCUUGCAAUACAGUUAAUAAUAUAAAAUAAUAAUAGGCUAUUGUGUUUUGCUGUCGUGCAUAGAACAUGCACCUCUAUAUCCUAGUGAGUGCCCUUCUCAGCAUCCCUGUCUCUUUGGCUUUCUCUUUGGGUUGGAAUGAAGACUUACAGAUAGUGUGUUCUGGUCGAGAGUUCCGCCUGCCGGUCUACUCAGGGUCAAGAAUUGUGACCUUUACCCCCAGCUACCCUCCAGGACCAAGAAGAGUGCUUCUGGAGAACAACAACUUGAAGGACCCGCGGUUUGAGUGGACGAAAGAUAGGAUGUUGCUGCUGAAUGACGUCACACACCGUGACCAGGGGCUCUACUCUAUCAAACUGUCCUCUGGAUUCACCUAUGAGACCGUUCGCCUCACUGUCUCAGAAUGUAUAAAAACCUUCCGUCUGGGCUAUGGGGAAACCUUUCAGCACAACAUCCCUAAAUAUGUCUCCGUGCUGGAGUUCUCUCCCCGGGGCUCCCCCUCUGACUCCCAGACGGUAUUACUGUGGAACCGGAUGGACCCUGAGACCA